rnacentral:lncRNA from 1 species
CCCUAACUGGUCAUGAGUUGCCUUAGUGACAAUCUCCACUUUGUGAUGUCAUUGGUGUCCACUGGGCCCUGAUCAGGUCUCAGCCUAGAAACGCCUAUGAGAGGAAUCUGGUCACCCUAGUAACUGGAACUUCUUUUUAAGGGAAUGCUAACUAUCUACUUGAUUUUAACUUUCUAGCAAAAAGUGUGUGUUUCCAUGAAAACCUUUCCCUUGUUCAUAGGAUACAACUCCAGAAUAAAGAAAGGAGAAUUUACCAGGAUGUGAAGAUAAAGUGACAUUAACUCAAAUGGCAUCACCAGCUGGGAGGCAACACAUAGGACCUCAAGACCAAGAGAGAUGGAAGGACUCUGAAGACAAGCCUUCAAAAGGCAAACCCAGCAGGAAGAACAGGAUUCAAGACAGCAGGCCCAGAUGCAAAAGGGAUCAAACAUGGAGAACCCAUGUUGAGAUGGUGGAACUACAAGAUGAAAGCAGCCUGAAUCUCUGGUUCAACUGAUAGCAGAGAGCCUAUGCCAACCCGUCUUUUUUUGUGUGCAAAAUAAAUAAAUAUUUAUUGUUUUAAGUCAUUCAGAUUUCAAAUUUUCUCUGUUUUAUCAGUUAGGAGAAGCUAUAUGACUGAUCCCCAGCUACCAUUUCUGUUGUUAGGUUUAUUUAAAUAUUUUAAUUAUAAAAAUAAUAUUACAAAGAUUCUUUCUCAAAAAAAAAAAAAACUAACAAUACAGAUAAACCACAUUCCACAGUGUUUCUUCAAAAUUCAACACUUUUAUUUAUUUAUUUAUUUAUUUAUUUAUUUAUUUAUUUAGUAGAGAUGGCGUUUCACUGUGUUAGCCAGGAUGGUCUCGAUCUCCUGACCUUGUGAUCCGCCCGUCUCGGCCUCCCAAAGUGCUGGGAUUACAGGCUUGAGCCACCACGCCCGGCCAACACUUUUAAACACAUAACGAUGAUGAACAGUCUGAUGUUUAAGCUGAUCCUAGUUUUUUUAACCUAUAUAAAUGUAUUUAAUACAUAUAUUAUGAUUCUAUGUGUAUAUAUAUAAAUAUAAAUAUUUAAAGUAUACAAUAUGGCCAGGUGCAGUGGCUCACACCUGUAAUCCCAGCACUUUGGGAGCCCGAGGUGGAGGGGUCACGAGGUCAGGAGUUCAAGACCAGCCUGGCCAACAUGGUGAAACCCCACCUCUACUAAAACUACAAAAAUUAGCUGGGCGUGGUGGUGUGCGCCUGUAGUCUCAGCUACUCGGGAGGCUGAGGCAGGAGAAUUGCUUGAACCCAGGAAGUGGAGGUUGCAGUGAGCCGAGAUGGGGCUACUGCACUUCAGCCUGGGCGACAGAACAAGACUCUGUCUCAAAAAUAAAAUAAAAUAAAAUAAAAUAAAAUAAAAUAAAAUAUGCAAUGUCACAUUUUGAUAAAUAUGCAUAAUAAAAUGAUUCCUGUAGUCAAGCAAAUUAAUGUAUUCUGCCUCACAUAUUUACCAUUUUGUGUGUGUUAAGAGCACUAAAAAUCUACUCUUGCCAAAUUUCCAUUAUACAAUAUAGUAUUAUUGACUAUAGUCAUCAUCCUGUACAUUACACCUCUAGAUUUAUUCAUCCCACAUAACUGCAAUUUUGUACUGUUUAACCUACAUUUCCCCAAACCCCUUAUUGCAAUAUUUUAAAAUACAC